GACGAACGCUGGCGGCGUGCUUAACACAUGCAAGUCGAACGGAAAGGCCCUGCUUUUGUGGGGUGCUCGAGUGGCGAACGGGUGAGUAACACGUGAGUAACCUGCCCUUGUCUUUGGGAGAACUUCAGGAAACUGGGGCUAAUACCGGAUAGGAGCUCCUGCUGCAUGGUGGGGGUUGGAAAGUUUCGGCGGUUGGGGAUGGACUCGCGGCUUAUCAGCUUGUUUGUGGGGUAGGUGCGUACCAAGGCUUUGAAGGGUAGCCGGCCUGAGCGGGUGACCGGCCACAUUGGGCCUGAGAGACGGCCCAGACUCCUACGGGAGGCAGCAGUGGGGAAUAUUGCACAAUGGGCGGAAGCCUGAUGCAGAAACGCCGCGUGCGGGAUGACGGCCUUCGGGUUGUAAACCGCUUUCGCCUGUGACGAAGCGUGAGUGACGGUAAUGGGUAAAGAAGCACCGGCUAACUACGUG
rnacentral:rRNA from 1 species